GGAGGACCCCGGGGGCGUCCUUCUCUCCGCGAGCCCCGCCAGAUGUUGCAAAGGCAAACAAUAGGGGAGACGCGGAGAAACAAAAGGCCAUUCGUCACAAUCUCCACGGGCUCUGUGGCGUGGUCCCUGCGGGGAGGACAUCUGGGAGGCGGUCAGGAAGCCCGCGGCCCUGUCGGCUCCUGCGCCGGGUCAGCCGAAGCCGGCGCCAGAGGAAGAGGCACCUUAAUACAUAUCGAUUGAAGAGUACCAAAUGACUAAGGGUUGCAUUUUACAAUUCUGACUACACACUUUAAAGAGCUUUGCCUGUGGGAAGAGAGGACUUUCAUCCCACUUCCAGCCCCUUAGUGGCUUCUUCCCUGGGGAGGAAUGGUAAAUCUUGUGAUUGGGAGGGAGCCAUCAAUAUUUCCUGGAUAAUUUCUAUCAGGGAGCGGGGUCAGUGUGGCGAAUGGUGCCCCGACUCUUGCCAACUCUCUGGCCCAGCUUCUCUGCCCUGUGACCUCGUGGGCUGGAGAAGGGUGGCUCCACCUUCACAAUGUGCUCUGAAGGGCCAGCAUUUAGAUUCAAGCCCUCCUUGGUCCUCCUGUGUCUUUGUCUGGUGGGCCUACUACAACAAAGCUUGGGGGCUUCCCCACAACAGAAAGGUAUUUCUCAUAGUUCUGGAGGCUGAGAAGUCUAAGAUCAAGAUGCCAGCAGGUUCAGUGUUUGGUGAGGGCUUGCUUUCUCAUAGGCAGCUUUUCACUGUGUCCUCACAAAGCAGAAGCGGGCAGGGAGCUUUCUCAGGCCUCUUUUAUAAAGACACUAAUCCUGUUCAUAAGGCAUCGGCCCUCAUGACUGAUCACCUCCCAGAAGCUCCACCUCCCAAAACCAUCACACUGGGGUAUAGGAUUCAGCAGAUGAAUUUGGGGAGGACACAAACAUUCCAUCUGUAGCGUCCUGGGCUACCCCUCAUUCUCCAGUCCAGCUUUUAUCAGAGCUCUGCAUAGGUGUUAUACAGCAAACGGGCUCCAUCAUGAAUUGAACAAGACACUGUUUCCCACUGGCUAUUAUUCCUUAUGGUGUAUGGUUCUUGGCUUGUAGGGAAAAGCAAUCUGAAGGGAAAGACUAGGGGAAGGGAAGGAUUCGGGUACCAAGGGUCCACCCAACAUACACCCAUCCUCUCCCUCAAAUUUGCUCCACUGCUGUCUUCCCCAUCCUGGUGAAUGGCCUCUCCAACCUUUCAUUGGCUUAAAGCCCCAAAUCACAGGAUCAUCUUUGACUUUUCUCCUUUUCUGUUCCACUUCUAAUCUAUCAGCAAAUCUCAUUGGUUUUACCUUCAAAAGAUAUCCAAAUGCUGAUAGACCUCUUUCCACCACCUCAGUCCAAGCCACAAAUACCUGUAGCUAGUAUUACUGCAAUAACCUUCUAUCUGGCCCCCCUGCUUCCACCUUGCCACCCCCCCAUAUAUGCUAUUCUCAGUAAAGCAGCCAAUGUGAUUCCAGUAAAAGUGGUAUCAUAUUUUGUCAUAUUUUGUCUUGCUACUCCAGAUCCUCCUUGGGCUCCUCUUUCAACUCUGCUUAAAAUUAUUAUCACCUUCCCCUUCUAACACUCCCUAUCCAUAGUCCCUGCUCCAAUUUUCUCAGAAUUUAUUGCCAUCUGAUAUACAAUACAUACAUAUAUAUAUACUGUGUGUGUAUAUAUACACACACACAAAAUAUCCCUGUAUUCGUUUUCUGUUUUUUGCCCAUGUUAAUUUUCUAUGGCUGCCAUAACAAAGUACCACAAACUUAAUGAUGUACAACAAUAAAAUUUAUUAUAUUCUGGGGGUUAGAUGUUCAACACAGGUCUCAUUGGUGUCAGCAGGGCUGGGUUCCUCUUUGAAGUCUAUAGAGGAGAGAGAAUCAGUUUCCCUGUUUUUACUGAUUUCUAGAGGCUGCCCACAUACCUCAGCCUGUGGUUCCAUUUCUCCAUCUCCCAAACCAGCAACAGCAGUCAAGAUCUCAUUUUCUUCAUUCUGACCUUUCUGCUUUCCUCUUCCACUUCCCUCUUCCACUUAUAAAUCCCUUGGGAUUACACCGAGCCCAUCCAAAUAAUCCAGGAUUAUCUCCCUAUGUUAAAGUCAGCUGAUUAGUGACCUUAAUUCUGUCUGCAACUCCAAUUCCUACUUGCCAUGUAAUGUAACAUGAUCACAGGUUAUGGAGAUAAACAUGUGGACCUUUGGGGGGGCCGUUAUUCUGUCUUCCACAGUCUCACUCUUUCUACUAGAAUGUAAAUUCUACAUGACAUGGGUUUUUAUCUAUUUUGUCUAUUACUCUAUCCUCGGACUAGCUCAAUAAAUGUAUAGAUGCUCACUAUGGACUGAAUUAUAUCCCACCUCCCUCUGCCCCCAAAUGCAUAUGUGGAACCCCUAACCCUCAAUGUGAUGGUAUUUGGAGAUGGAGCCUUUAAGAGGUAGUUAGGGUUAUUGCUUCUGGCCUUUUGGUUAGAUGAAGUGUUAAGGGUAGUGCCCUCAUGAUGAGAUUAGUGACUUUAUAAGGAGAAACAAUAAAAGAGCGAUUGUCUCUCUGCCAUGUGAGGACAUGGGUGAGAAGGAGGCCAUCUGUAAGCCAACAAGAUUCUCACCAGGAACCACACUGGCCAGCAUCAUGAUCUUGGACUUCCCAGUCCCCAAAACUAUGAGAAAUAAAUGUGUGUUGUUUAAGCCAUCCAGUCUAUGGUAUUUUGUUAUACACCUGAACACGCUAAUAUGGCCCUCAAAUAUGUGUUGACUUAAUUAAUGAAGAAAACUCAUUAUAGGUAUUGCAAAUAUUUAACAUCUGUUAAGCACCUACAAUACAUCAGGUACUUGCUAAGUACUUUACAUGGAAUGUCUCAUUUAAUUCUCACAAGGUCCCUAUGCAGGAAAUACAGGUGAAGAAAUUAUAGACCAGAAAGAUAAGGGAACUUACCCAAGGACAUGCAGCUAGUACAUCAUGUAGGCAGGUUUUAGACUUGGCAGUGUAGCUUAAAUCCAUAGCUGGAACCCUCACACUCCCCUGCCACUAUCAUGGAGCAAUAGGCUGCCUGGGAUCUUGCCCUCAAGAUGCUUAUAACCUGUUAGAGAAAUAUGACUAGCAAUAAUACAAGGGAGACUGUGGGGGAGGGGAAGGUAUAGAAGAGACCAAUACAUUUCUGUGGAGCAUGGAGACAAGAUUAAUUCUGGAUGGAGUUGACUGUGGAGAGCUUCAAGGAGGAUGUGGCAUUUGAGCUGGACUUAAAGAUGGUGACAUUGGGGUGCCUGGGUGGCUCAGUCAGUUAAGCGUCUGUC